UCUUUCAGAAUUAUCUGGAACAAAAAAUGGAUUCUCUAUUUUCUGUACAAAUUCGGAACCCUCUAGAAUCCCUAUAAACAAUAUGACUGACCCUGAUAUCUUGGGUCAGUCUUACAAAAAUGGUUGGGCUAAAACCGACCCAAAACUAAAACAGGCACAAAAGUAAAGUAGCAGCCCAAUGUACAAUAUACAUGCAAUAUAUAAUAAAGAUACAAUAAAAAUACAACACUCAACAAAGUAUGUGUUUAGGCUUAGAUGCUAAGUAGUCUUUUAGCUCAACACCCCCCUCAAGUUGGAGGG
rnacentral:lncRNA from 1 species